rnacentral:rRNA from 1 species
AGAGUUUGAUCCUGGCUCAGAUUGAACGCUGGCGGCAGGCCUAACACAUGCAAGUCGAACGGUAACAGGAAGAAGCUUGCUUCUUUGCUGACGAGUGGCGGACGGGUGAGUAAUGUCUGGGAAACUGCCUGAUGGAGGGGGAUAACUACUGGAAACGGUAGCUAAUACCGCAUAACGUCGCAAGACCAAAGAGGGGGACCUUCGGGCCUCUUGCCAUCGGAUGUGCCCAGAUGGGAUUAGCUAGUAGGUGGGGUAACGGCUCACCUAGGCGACGAUCCCUAGCUGGUCUGAGAGGAUGACCAGCCACACUGGAACUGAGACACGGUCCAGACUCCUACGGGAGGCAGCAGUGGGGAAUAUUGCACAAUGGGCGCAAGCCUGAUGCAGCCAUGCCGCGUGUAUGAAGAAGGCCUUCGGGUUGUAAAGCACUUUCAGCGGGGAGGAAGGCGGUGAGGUUAAUACCUUUGCUCAUUGACGUUACCCGCAGAAGAAGCACCGGCUAACUCCGUGCCAGCAGCCGCGGUAAUACGGAGGGUGCAAGCGUUAAUCGGAAUUACUGGGCGUAAAGCGCACGCAGGCGGUCUGUCAAGUCGGAUGUGAAAGCCCUCGGCUUAACCGAGGAAGUGCAUCGGAAACUGGGAAACUUGAGUGCAGAAGAGGACAGUGGAACUCCAUGUGUAGCGGUGAAAUGCGUAGAUAUAUGGAAGAACACCAGUGGCGAAGGCGGCUGUCUGGUCUGUAACUGACGCUGAGGCUCGAAAGCGUGGGGAGCGAACAGGAUUAGAUACCCUGGUAGUCCACGCCGUAAACGAUGAGUGCUAAGUGUUGGAGGGUUUCCGCCCUUCAGUGCUGCAGCAAACGCAUUAAGCACUCCGCCUGGGGAGUACGACCGCAAGGUUGAAACUCAAAGGAAUUGACGGGGGCCCGCACAAGCGGUGGAGCAUGUGGUUUAAUUCGAAGCAACGCGAAGAACCUUACCAGGUCUUGACAUCUUUUGAUCACCUGAGAGAUCAGGUUUCCCCUUCGGGGGCAAAAUGACAGGUGGUGCAUGGUUGUCGUCAGCUCGUGCCGGGAGAUGUUGGGUUAAGUCCCGCAACGAGCGCAACCCUUAUUGUUAGUUGCCAUCAUUUAGUUGGGCACUCUAGCAAGACUGCCGGUGACAAACCGGAGGAAGGUGGGGAUGACGUCAAAUCAUCAUGCCCCUUAUGACCUGGGCUACACACGUGCUACAAUGGGAAGUACAACGAGUCGCAAAGUCGCGAGGCUAAGCUAAUCUCUUAAAGCUUCUCUCAGUUCGGAUUGUAGGCUGCAACUCGCCUACAUGAAGCCGGAAUCGCUAGUAAUCGCGGAUCAGCACGCCGCGGUGAAUACGUUCCCGGGCCUUGCACACAACGCCCGUCA